rnacentral:rRNA from 1 species
GCGCUAGCUCGUUUGGGUUCAGUGCGUUGUGGUCUAGAGACAUACUUACCAGAAUGCGACCUGUGCAUAAGUCUUCUUGGAACGGAGCAGCAGAGAGGGUGAGAAUCCCGUUUGUUGCAGAGAGCCUCGCUUCGUAUGGUGUAUGUUCAAAGAGUCGCGCUUCUUGGGCUUGAAGCGCAAAGUGGGUGGUAAACUUCAUCUAAAGCUAAAUAUUUGCGAGAGACCGAUAGCGAACAAGUACCGUGAGGGAAAGAUGAAAAGAACUUUGAAAAGAGAGUUAAAGAGUGCUUGAAAUUGCUAAAAGAGAAGCGAUUUGAGCAAGUGUUAUGCGGCAAUGUACUUGGAUUGUUGCUCGGGUUGCGUUCGGUGGUUGUGGGAGACGCUUUAAUCGGUGUUCUGCGGCUGCUGUUCUGUAUGCUUGAGCGGUGGUUCUUUGUGUUGCUGGAUUGGUCAGAAUCAGUUUGGACCGCAGAUGUAACGUGCGUGGUGAAGAUAGGGCUUUCGGGUUCGCUUGCGUUCUCAGGGCUCCUUAUAGAACCGUGCACUCUACUGUGGUCUGGUCUGAGGCAUGAUAACCCAUGUGACAACACCUACUCUUCGGAGCUGAGGUGCACCAGGUCAUGAGCGCCGCAGUUCUUUGGAAAACAAAGUUUUGCUUGGAAAUGUUUCGGUGCUUUUGCGACUCUGGCUGCCCAUCUUAAGGUGUUCGCGAUUCUGACAAAWUUGCUCAAACCGNACCCGUCUUGAAACACGGACCAAGGAGUCUAACAUAUGUGCGAGUAUUAGGGUGGCAAACCCCGAUGCGUAAUGAAAGUGAAAGUCGUCGAUUGGGAUGGCUUGAGGUCAGAUGCUUUGCAUUUCGGUGCGGGCUGCAUGAUCGACCUAUGGCUUCCUUGUGAGC